UGCCCAAAGUGAAUCAGUCCCAGUGAAUGGAUCGAAACGAGAGAAGUCUUGCCUUUCUGUGUCCAGCUCUCGGUGAAGAUCUUUGCCUCCGUCCCUCGGCCGUCCUCGUGUUGUGAGAUACCCCAGUCUGUGAGGAACUCACUCGUGUACCCAAGCACUCGCUCACCCUUGUGCAAACAGACGCGACUCUCAACAACCGACUGAAAACACGCUGAGAUAGAAAAAAGGAGAAGAGAUAGAAA